rnacentral:rRNA from 1 species
AAAAUUUGGCGGUAUUUUAGUCUGUUCAGUGGAACCUUUCUUUUAAUCGAUAAUCCACGAUUAAUUUUAAUUUAGUUGUUAAAUUUAUAUAUCGUUGUUUAUAAAAAUUUUAGGAGUUAAUUUUUUCAGAUCAAGGUGUAGUUUAUGUUAAAGUUAGGGUGGGUUACAUUAAUAAGUUGGGGUAAAUUGGAUUUGAUAGUAAGCUCUAAAAUAUGCACAUAUCGCCCGUCGCUUUCAUUAUAAUGUGAAAUAAGUCGUAACAAAGUAGGCUUAUUGGAAGAUGAGCCUGGAAUUCAAGUUAGAGCUAGGUAAGCGUUUUAUUUACAUUAAAAGGUUAAUUGUGAAAUUCAAUUUGGCUUGAACUUUUUUCAUUAUUUUGUUUAUUGGUUUUUUUUUAUGUUAGAAGAAUGUUUGUCUUUGUAUUUUGUUUGAUAGAGUUUAAUUAUAGUUUAUUUUACCGUGAGGGGCUUGAUGUUAGUUUUGUAAAGAAGAUUUUUUUUAUUGUACCUUGUGUAUCAGGGUUGAUUUAUUAAGUUUUCCCGAAUUUAUAAGAGUUAUUUUUACUGUGGAAAAAGUAUUUAUAAUUUUAGCAUAGAAGUGAAAUGUUAUUCGUUUAUUAUUAUAUCUGGUUUCUUAAGAAAUUAAUUUAAUUAAGAUUGCUUUAUUGGUAUAUGUGGGGGAUAAGCUCUUAGAUUUAUUUAUAUGGGAUGGUUUGUUUGGUUUUUUUAUAGGAUUAGAAUUUUUCAUUAUUUUUAGUAUGUUAUAUUUCUUUAUGUUUUUAUUAGGAUUUUUUUGUUAUUUUUAUGAAAAAUGUGAUUAUGAUUUAAUUAGUAAGAUUAGGAUAAGGAAUUCGGCAAAUUAGGUUUUCACCUGUUUAUUAAAAACAUGUCUUUUUGAUUAUUAUUUAAGGUCGGGCCUGCCCAAUGAUUAAAUGGCCGCAGUAUUUUGACUGUGCAAAGGUAGCAUAAUCAUUAGUUUCUUAAUUGGAAGCUGGAAUGAAGGGUUUGAUGAGAAAUAAGCUGUCUCUAGAAUUUUAUUUUUGAGUGAAAAAGCUUAAAUUUAGUAUAAAGACGAUAAGACCCUAUAGAGUUUUUUUGUUGGGGUGAUGUGAAAAUUUAAAUAACUUUUCAUUUUGGCGGAUUGAUGAUCCUGGAUUAUAAGAU